AGAAACCUAGCCACGCACGCUUCUUCCCCCUCUGUCGAUCCCCUCUCCGCGCCUCCUCCUCUGCCGUGUCGCUACGCCGCCGCACGCUUCUCCCCCCCUCCUCCGCGCCUCCUCCUCUGCCGGUCGCUGCGCCGCCGGCUCAGCCGCUUCUCCUGUGCCUUCUCCUCCCCGCUCCUCACUGAGUCAUCGACCAGAUCGGCGUCCAUGUUCAGCAGCGGCGGCGGCAUCUUCAGCGGAGGAGGCGGGUGGUCGUGGCGGCGGCAUCUUCAGCGGCGUCACCGGAAGGAGGGGGAGCAGCCGUGCCCGGACGAGGUCGUCCCCAACUCCUGCAUCUAGUCGUCGACCUUACCAACACUGCAGUCGCCGCUGCUGGUCGAGGUCGCCCAGGUUGACACCGGCCCCGCCGGACUGCAUGUUAUCCUGCCCGACAUGGUAUUUGGCAAUAUUGGCUCUUGGGCUGCCCAAUUGAUCACUGAAGCUGGUGGCAAGGUGGUCUCCAUCAGAGAUGUCACAGGGGCUGUCAAGAACUCUAAUGGCAUUGACAUAGCCAAGCUGAUGAAGCACUCGGCAGAGAACCGCGGGAUCAAGGGCUUUGACGGAGGCGACGUCAUCGACCCGACCUCGCUGCUCACGGAAGAGUGCGACGUGCUCAUCCCGGCAGCUCUGGGAGGAGUCAUAAACAAGGACAAUGCUGAUGCCAUCAAAGCAAAGUACAUCAUUGAGGCUGUUAACCACCCAACAGACCCCGAGGCCAACGAG